rnacentral:rRNA from 1 species
AACGCGAAGAACCUUACCAAGUCUUGACAUCCCAAUGACGAGUGGGUAAUGCCACUUUCCCUUCGGGGCAUUGGAGACAGGUGGUGCAUGGUUGUCGUCAGCUCGUGUCGUGAGAUGUUGGGUUAAGUCCCGCAACGAGCGCAACCCCUAUCUUUAGUAGCCAGCGAGCGAAGUCGGGCACUCUAGAGAGACUGCCGGGGAUAACCCGGAGGAAGGUGGGGAUGACGUCAAAUCAUCAUGCCCCUUAUGAUUUGGGCUACACACGUGCUACAAUGGCGUAAACAGAGGGAAGCGAGCCUGCGAGGGGGAGCAAAUCCCAAAAAUAACGUCCCAGUUCGGAUUGUAGUCUGCAACCCGACUACAUGAAGCUGGAAUCGCUAGUAAUCGCGGAUCAGAAUGCCGCGGUGAAUACGUUCCCGGGUCUUGUACACACGCACGUCGCACCAUGGGAGUGGG